CUGCCCUCUGCCCAGAAGAGGAACAGACUUCCAGGAACUCUGUGACUUGCAUUGGCAGCAGUUCUGCCACAGCGAUGCAAACAGCAAAGGACAGAACCCACACCUCCCCGACGGUCUCCUCAAGAAGGCUGCUCCACGGGACAGAAGGCUCUUCUGUUCAACUCUGGUGCCAGUGGGGUUACCAAAUCAGAACGUGAUCCCCUCAGGGGUUUCCAACUCUUGGGAGAUGGCCAGAGGAGGGACAUCCAAGACUGAAGUGGUUUACAGGAAGACACUUCUUCGGUGAGCAACUGGUCCCUUGGGAUGUGACCCCCCCUCCCACAGCAUCCUUCUUCCUACCCAACUCCAUGGUCACAGGCCCUGCUCCUCCUGCCGCCUGCUUCUCUCUCUGCCUACAGUGAUGCACCUGGAAAGGAGUCCAGGAGGAAAAGAAUCGUAAGAGAUGAGAGGGGGGCAGAAGCCUGAUGACACAGGGAGAGUUUUUGUUUUUGUCUUAAAUGAAGUGCCAAGCCAGGGCAGGGCCAGGAGAAUGGGUCCUUGACGAUUUUCUGCAUCCCUCCAGUUUCUCUGGAAGCUGAGAAAGGAUUAUUCUUUCUCCUUCUCCAGUUCCCCAAGUGCCGAGCUCAUUGCCAAGUGCACCACAGCUCUGAGGUAGACCCUUGCUGCCUUUGCGAAUAAAGGACAGUAAAGUAAGUAAGAAAAUGUAGCAACAUUCUGGACUUCAAGGGAACAGACUAUUACUACCCCCUUAUUUUAUCCACAGACACACCAAGACCUCGAAAAGGAAUGGACUUAUCCAAGGUCACCAGAGAGAUUAUGGCAGAGCCCGGGUUAAGAACCCAGUGUCCCGCUGUCCACCGUUCUUCAGAUGAAAGGAAGUGAUGGUCAUCUCUGCUCUCAUAUCCCAAAUUGAUCUUAAAACACCAUCAUCAAUCCCCAAGGCCCAGACGGAUACACUGCAUGAAGCCAGGUACAAGAAACCAGAAUGCCCAGUCCAUUUACUUUCUGGAUUAACUCACCUCGAGUAAACAAGGAAGGCCCAGAGGUCUGCUUGCCCAGGGAGGAGGCAAGUUCACAAGUAACCUGGAUGUCCUCAGACUUUGCUAGAGGAACCCCUAUGUGUCCAGUGCCUUGAAUAGCGUCUGACACCUCUCAGGUGCUGCAGGAAUGCUUGAAGGAAGGGGUGAAUGACUCGGAGGAGAGUCUGGGCAUACACAGUAGAAACUGUGUCCUUCUCUUCUGGUGACUUAACACACCUUCCUGCAUCUUUCCAAUGGAUUUGGGGUUGCUGCCUGCCACUGGAUGUUAAAGACACCUCCCUAUGUCAGAAGGUACUGACAUGCCUUCUGAAACCAGCCCUGUGUUCAUCAGCCUCACCUCACAUCCAGGGAGGACUGGAUACGGGGACCACAGUGAGUACACUUGUCCCUCUUUCCUCAAGAUUCAUCUGUCAGCCUGCCAGGGUGGUUCCUGUGAGACACGUGCCUACGAUGUACAGUUCCCAGGGAGAGCCCAGCCAGCCCUCCGGCCCCCAGCCAGCUCAGGACGGCUGUAUGAAGUGAGAAUUUCCUGGCUGACUUGACAGUGAUGAGUCAGGCUGGCAUGAGCCAGCUUCAGAAAUGACAGGGCCUGAAUUGUGUGCAUGGACCGAACAUCAUCAGCUGGCUGGACCCAGACCUGGGACCUGGAAUCCUCAGACCCCGUUUAGAUGGCCAUGACCAGAGGUGGCUCAGCCCUCUUAAACGAUGUCUCAGUUUGGCGAUGUCUGAGGGCUCCUCCAUUCCUGUCACAGGAGAGGAUUUAUCCUCCACUCCCUGCCCCCGUGCGUCUCCACACCAUCAUGCUUCCUCCAUGACAUGGUGACCAGGCUCCCUUAAUACUAACAAAAAUAAUAAUACCAAAUUCUUAUUAAGCACUAACCACAUAACAGGCACUAUUCUAAACAUUUUACAUAUGUUGAUGCAUCAAAUCCUCCUAACAACAUGAAAAGGCAGAUGUACACUGCUAUAUUUAAAUGAAUAACCAAUAAGGACC